rnacentral:tRNA from 2 species
GGUCGCGUAGCUCAACUGGACAGAGCGCCGGGCUCCUAUCCCGGAGGUUGCCGGUUCGAGUCCGGCCGUGAUCGCCA